rnacentral:rRNA from 1 species
AGAUUGAACGCUGGCGGCAUGCUUUACACAUGCAAGUCGAACGGCAGCACGGGGGCAACCCUGGUGGCGAGUGGCGAACGGGUGAGUAAUGCAUCGGAACGUAUCCUUGAGUGGGGGAUAACGUAGGGAAACUUACGCUAAUACCGCAUACGACCGAGAGGUGAAAGCGGGGGACCGAAAGGCCUCGCGCAGCAGGAUGAGCCGAUGUCCGAUUAGCUAGUUGGUGGGGUAACGGCCUACCAAGGCGACGAUCGGUAGCUGGUCUGAGAGGAUGAUCAGCCACACUGGGACUGAGACACGGCCCAGACUCCUACGGGAGGCAGC